UUCCCUUCUCGUCUUCUAAUAGUAGCUGAAACCACAUCCAGAUCCAAACUCUAAUACUUGUUACACUCACAACACUGUAUCUGCCCAUUCCUGCCGUCCUCUAUUCAUAGUGAGGGUUGUCUGUGAUGCCCACUGCAGCCCUGCAGAGCAGCACACCCGGCUCAGAGCCACGCAGAAGCAGAGCAUUGCCCUCCUCCUUCUCUUUUCUUCCUCGUUUCAGUCUUGCUGACCCGGCUGAUGGCAAUCAGCAUCCCUGGGAGCAGAGAGUUCACCGGUUUGCACAGCAGCUCUCUGUCCUGUCUGGAUUUCGGGGCAGUGAUGGAAACUGGCAUUUAGGAGCCCAAAAGGCCCUCACGUGUUUGUAACCACACGCUGGAAAUCGCAGUGCAAACACUCCCCGUUCCCCACUGCAUCACGCUCAGCCCUUCAGCACAUCCAAGGGACAAUAAAAGCCAUCUGAGGCAGUUUAACGAGACCCUCAGCUCUCUAUUUCCCCUGUAACCUGAGGGAUUCUAUUCACAGGGGCGUAAAUCCACUGAGUCAUUCAAUGCUGUCGUUGGCAGAAAAGGAGAAUUUAAAAGGGGGUUUUCUCGUGUUGCCUGAGCAUCCACCUUGUGAAACGGUGCAACCUCAGCCUUUCAAAUCUGAGAGAGAAUAAACAGACGUACUUUCACAGGUACUGCAUCAGUGUUUUUGCUUUCAGCGCAUAAUCCAAGCUUUUAUCUCUUAUUUCUCUUAUUUCAGAGAAGUUAAAGGCUUUCACCGAUGAUCUCUCAUGCACCUUCAGCCAGAUUUUGAAUUACUGCUUUCUGAGGUUCCAUGCAAAAACAUGCUCAGGUCUCCUGCCUGUCUGAUAAAUGCUUCCACAUGAAACCUGCUGUAUAAAUCUGUGUUAACACUUUCCUGGUGCUUUUUUUUUAUGUUUUGGCAAUUUUUGAUAACUCUUGUGGCAGUUUAGUAAUGAUUUUUGUAUUAGGAAGCACCCAGCCAAACUAAUGGAAAAUAGGUUAUAAAGUUUGGUGGCAAGACUAAUCAGUAAAAGUGAAGUGAAUGCUCAGGGGUAUUGGCUUGAUUUCUUCUUAGAAAACAGUCCACAUACCCUCCUAUGAAAGCAUUUAAUUCUAGUAAAAAUCAUCCUCAGGCAUUUAAAAUAGCGGGAAGGAACACAGACAAACUGUGCAUGACACUGCUUCUGAGGGAUGUAACUGCACCAACAAUGACAUGAUCUGAUUCUCAGAAGGAGCCCAAAAUAUUUGUGUAGAAGCAUUGCAGAGAAUUGUCUUAUUUAUCCCAGAACCACACCAAGAGUUUACCGUACCUGAAGGCAGGCAGGCAGGGUGAGUCUGAGCAGGUGGAUUGGCUGCUGCUUCGUAAUCUCAACUGUAAGAUGGAGACACUCAACAUGUAUGGGUUAAAUGGAAUUACACUUCUGCUUGUGCCAAUGGACAUUUUAGUAGCCCUCCUUAAACAUAUUCUGAAACACUUUAAAGUUUACUGUUUCUGAAAUGGUGUAUGCCAGUAGUCUUGUGGUGAUCGUUCUGAAGAGGCUGCUGAUAUGGGAUAUUCUUGGUUGAUGUAGAAUAUUAAUGCAGCCAUUAAUGUAAAGACAGCACCACUCCAAUUUUCUGUACUGCAAAUAUUGCAGCAGCCACAGUCUCACAGGCUCAGAAAUCCAAAGAGCUCUGAGUUCUUCCUAGUUUUAUAGAUGCUUAUGGGAUAUCCACUUCUCCAAUUUGUCCCUGACUAUCCUCUAUGGGUUGGUCAUCUCAGCAGGAAGCACACUCCUCUCUGGAGCAGAACUAGCUAACAGGUCGGGCAUGGAACAGGCUUCCCAGGGCAGUGGACUCAGUCCCAAGCUGACACAUCUCAAGGAGCAUUUGGAUAAUGCUCUUAGUCAUAGGGUUGAAUUUUGGGUUGUCCUGUAUGGAGCUGGAGUUGUACUCGAUCUGUGUGGGUCCCUUCCAGUUGAGGUUAUUUUGUGAUUCUAUGAUUCUAAAAAGAAAUGUUAGGGAAUAUAAAGAGCUAGCAAACCAGCUAGCAUGGGAAGAGAGGAAAUUCACCCCAGAAGAUACAGCCAAGCUAUGAACCAAAGUGCUUAGUUUUGAGUCCAGUGGAUAAACAUUUUCAAUGGCUUCUUAGUAUGGUUUGUCAUUGCAUUGCCAACAGCAGGUCUGGUAGUCCAUGUGAAAUGAUUUGUUUGGACUACAUGUGGUAGGUUGUACAGGGAGAAACAAAGGCAGGUGUGUAUAGCAAAAUAACCAGAGCCAAAUCAUAUACAGAGAGGGGAGAGGAGUUUAAGUCAAUUAUAGAGAUAGAGGCAGCACAUAUAGGCAUUUCUUCAAAUUUUCUUAGGCUUCUGGCAAGAUUUAUGUACAAAGGCAAAGGAGAAGAUUUUAGUUGCAUUUGCCAAACCCAUAAAUGAAAUCAUCUUGUUUCUUACUGAUUGUGAUUUGCUCUGAAUCCCUUCCAAUGUGUAUGAAAAUCAGUGUUCCACACUUCACUGAGAGAAGUCCUGGGAAUUACCAACGGAGAAUGAAUAAUGAAGUGUACAAAUACGUGAAUGAGUAGCAAAGUCAUCCAGAAGCAGCCUUCAAACACUGCACAAGUUAAUGUGAUCUAAUCUGAUAUAUUUGUGCUCAUGUUCAUGCUGAGGUCAGAGCCUGAAUAGAUUGGAUAAUCCAAAUGAGAAAAAAAUUAAGCCUACGGACCUCUUGUUUAAAUUGGCUGCUGUUGCUUUAUUUUGGUUCUUUCUGCUCUCCGUCUGUAAUAUUGCAAUAGAGCUGUAGAUUUUAUUUUUAACAUUUAUGCCUUCACUUGUUAGAAUCUUGAUUUUCUCUCCUUUCAACCUGAAUAAUAUGGGUCACCUCUAUCUUUCUUAUCUUAAGUAAACUCAAGGAAAUGCUUGUUCCUGUUCUGAACAAGUCAGCAUCCUUCAUCCUUUUCUGUUGUCACGGCUGCCGCCACCACCAUCAUCAUUAUGAGAGGAGAUCUGGUGAGAGAGAUGAUCUGAUCUUCCCCAGGAGGCUGAGUCUGCUGUUCUGGGGCUGCUGGAGUUCCCUUCCGCAGAACACUUCUGUUCUCCAGCCUACUGCCAGUAGAGCAAUUAAACUGCCUAUUACAUUAAUAGUUUCAAUUAGAAUUAUAAUCUACUUCUCUUUAAUAUUCAUAUUGGUUUGUACUAAUGUUAUUUAGCUAUUAAUUCCCUGAGCUGAUUAGGAUGAAUAAGCUGCCAUUUUCAAUUCUUGGAUGUGGUGCAAUAUCCUUAGCUCUUGUAAGCUCCUGCUUGCAUGUGGCUCAGUGCAGAACCAGGACCUUCCAUUCAGGUGCUUCAUUAUUGCCUUGUGCCUAACAACAAUUCCAGAGCUACAGAACCAGGAGACACCAUAGCAGCAGAACUCCGCAGCUUUGUAAAGAAGUCUGUUUUGUCUCACUCCCUGGAGAGGCUGAAGAAUAAAAGCUUAGAGAAGCAUAGUUCCAAGUUUCAAGUCCACGGUUUAGAAGAUAGUCUAAUGUCAUCUCCCUCAUUAAUGAGGCCCUGAAAUAGUUGCUGAAGUUCUUGAAAAAUAUCUCAGUGAGAUUAUACUGCAUAAUGUCUACUUAUCCAUCAGCAGGAAUGUAAAAGACUGGAACAGAAAAAACGAUUUGCUUAAAGCGUCCAGAGUUUCCUGUUGCAUGGAGGGAGAAAUACAUCCAUUAAGCUGAGGAAAAAUAAAAAAAAAAAUACAGAAACAGACUGCAUAUUCAUGAGCUGAAAAUAUUCAUGGCUUCAAUACUACAUUAUGUCAUUUUUUGAAGCCAGAUACAGUACUGACUUAAUUGGAAUAAAUUUUUCAAUGUGUCCGGGAAUAAAA